AGACCCGAAACCCGGUGAUCUAGCCAUGGGCAGGUUGAAGGUUGGGUAACACUAACUGGAGGACCGAACCGACUAAUGUUGAAAAAUUAGCGGAUGACCUGUGGCUGGGGGUGAAAGGCCAAUCAAACCGGGAGAUAGCUGGUUCUCCCCGAAAGCUAUUUAGGUAGCGCCUCGUGAAUUCAUCUCCGGGGGUAGAGCACUGUUUCGGCUAGGGGGCCAUCCCGGCUUACCAACCCGAUGCAAACUGCGAAUACCGGAGAAUGUUAUCACGGGAGACACACGGCGGGUGCUAACGUCCGUCGUGAAGAGGGAAACAACCCAGACCGCCAGCUAAGGUCCCAAAGUCAUGGUUAAGUGGGAAACGAUGUGGGAAGGCCCAGACAGCCAGGAUGUUGGCUUAGAAGCAGCCAUCAUUUAAAGAAAGCGUAAUAGCUCACUGGUCGAGUCGGCCUGCGCGGAAGAUGUAACGGGGCUAAACCAUGCACCGAAGCUGCGGCAGCGGCACGCAAGUGUUGUUGGGUAGGGGAGCGUUCUGUAAGCCGUUGAAGGUGGCCUGUGAGGGUUGCUGGAGGUAUCAGAAGUGCGAAUGCUGACAU
rnacentral:rRNA from 1 species